rnacentral:rRNA from 1 species
AGAGUUUGAUCCUGGCUCAGGAUGAACGCUAGCUACAGGCUUAACACAUGCAAGUCGAGGGGAAACGACAUCGAAAGCUUGCUUUUGAUGGGCGUCGACCGGCGCACGGGUGAGUAACGCGUAUCCAACCUGCCCACCACUUGGGGAUAACCUUGCGAAAGUAAGACUAAUACCCAAUGACGUCUCUAGAAGACAUCUGAAAGAGAUUAAAGAUUUAUCGGUGAUGGAUGGGGAUGCGUCUGAUUAGCUUGUUGGCGGGGUAACGGCCACCAAGGCGACGAUCAGUAGGGGUUCUGAGNGAAGGUCCCCCGACAUUGGAACUGAGACACGGUCCAAACGUCCUACGGGAGGCA